rnacentral:lncRNA from 1 species
GGACUAUACCAUUUGAAAUGGGGCCAGGAAAACAAAUCAAAUUACUUUUUUAAUAUUUUGGAAGCUAUUUUCCAACAGCUUGAGUAAUAACAAAUUCAAUCUUUCUCUAUUUAUAAAUUCAAAUUCUUGUACCAGGCAGGAGAACUGGCUGGCUGACUCUCCCUUGGACAACAGUUUAUCCCCAGACACCCUAGCUUGGAGCAUGGCUCUGGCAAUCUAUUAAGGAAUGUUCCUUUUUGAGGGGAGAGAAGGGGCAAAGAAGCAGUUCCAUGUCUCUAACGUUCUGUCCUUCGUAUCUAUCACAAUUUUAAAUAUGCUCAACCUUUGACCCAGCAAUUCUACUUCUAGGAAGACAGCCUGAAGAAAUUCGAGUACAAGUAUUCCAGAUGUUGCUUUUAUCGUACAGAAGCUGUUUUUUUCCAGAAUGCUCCAACACAUUCCUACUCUUUCGCCCUCUAGAUAAAUGUCUUUCAGUGGACUUUAGAGUUAACAAUAGUGAGCAUUUCUCAAGCUACAGCCAAAGAAACUCCCUUAGGAGCAGCCUGUGUGCAGAAAAGCGAAAAAAGUUGAGGAACACUGCUCUUGAUGGUCAAGACUGUCUAAUUGAGAUGUUGAUAUAGGAAGAUAUUGGAAACAUGCCGUCCUCAAGCAAGGACUCCUCCUUUUCCUGAGUUGUCAAGCCCAUGGAAUCAUCCAGCCAGUUGACUCUGUACACGGUUGUAAAGUAUGACUUUUGUACAAUCUCAUCUCUUCUAAUGGGAGUUAAGUUAUUUCAGCCCAUCACAGUCCUUGUCUCUUCCUGCUCCAGUUUCUGGAGCCCCAGUGCUCCUUUGUUACACCCCUGAAUGCCCAGAUUCUUCAUCACAUCCCAGAUACAGCCUGUCUUUU